AACUAAAUCUAAAACUGCAGCAUUUUGUCAAUACCUAUUGCUACCCAUCCAAAAGAACAAGACCUCAAACGAAAAUUCAGAAGGACUAGAGCAUCUUGUACACCACCACAAGUUCAUCACAGACAAUAAAUUUAUCACCCAUGUCUGCAUUUGUGCUUUUGUUUUGCGUAGAAGCCUUCUUAUCAACUGUGAAUUUAGGGCUCACAAAUGUCCCGGUCCAGGACUGAGACGAUUGUGAGGGAACUGCAGGACGUCGUCGAUGCCUUGGGCGAACCUCUGCGUCAGAGUUUCCAGAAUAUGCAUGGUGGUUAUCCAGAAGCCACUCUGGAACGAUUCCUCAGAGCAAGAGACGGCGAUGCUACGAAAGCGAGUAAAAUGAUUGUGGAUUGCCUGAAUUGGAGAGUCAAAAACAGGAUUGACAAUAUCCUUGCGGAGCCCAUAUUACCAAAGGAGAAAUUCGAUGCCAUCCGACAGACUCAGUUGAUUGGAUUUUGCGGCUUUUGCAAACAGGGUCGACCUGUUUUUGCAAUUGGUGUCGGCAAUAGUACUUUUGAUCAAGCCUCAGUAGACAAAUAUGUCCAGUCACAUAUUCAGAUCAACGAGUAUAGGGAUAGAAUAAUCUUGACUGAAAUCAGCACGAAUAAGGGGCGAUACGUAGGGACCUGUUUGAAGAUUUUGGAUAUGACUAGCCUUAGUCUUUCGGCAAUCAGCCGGUUGAAGACCUCCACAGCUAUCGCAACCAUUGAUGAUUUGAAUUAUCCAGAGAAAACUGACACUUACUACAUUGUCAAUGCGCCGCAUGUGUUUUCUACCUGUUGGAAGGCAGUGAAACCUAUGCUCCAUGAAAGGACCAAGCGCAAAGUGCAAGUACUGCGGGGGAACGGGCAGGAGGAGCUUCUCCAGGUGAUGGAUUUUGAAACACUCCCUCCCUUCUGCAAGCCCGGCAUUAGCUCAUCCAACGAGUCUGACAUCUUCUCGCCAGACCAUCAGUUUCAUGUGAAGCUGUACAAUCACAUUCAACAAAUGGCUCUGUCCACUGACAGGGUCCUUAAUGGUCUGUCCUCUGAGGGCUCCUUGAACAUCGAAGUUCCGACCUCAGCCGAGCAGAGCCAGCAUUCCGAUGAAUGCGAGGUUGUUCACGGGAUUGGAUCUGUGCUGCCCACUCUUCAAGCGUCUCCAAAUGACUCUUACCAGCAUCAAAGGGAUACGUUGACUUCCAACAUUGCUGGUCUACAAGGGAAAUCAUCCUGCCUUUGGCUUGUCUUGGUGCUUGUGGCAGUCUACUUCAUGAGAGGAUUGUGGUGAAAGAGAUGAUGAUGAAGAGGAAACUUGUGCAGUUGCAUUUCCCUCACGGCACAGCCACAGCCCACCUCUCUCAUUUCAGCUUUUGGAAAUGUUGCUGCACUGAUAUGCUUGGUACUUAAUUGAAAAGCAAUACUCACGCGGCUAUGGCAAAGAUCAGACACAGUGUGAGACAAAAUGACCAACUGGAAAUUAUGCCGCAACAAAAAAAUUAAAUUAAAUUAAAAAAAAAAUCAGGCUUCCCCCGGA